ACCUGGCUGGCUCAGUCAGUAAAACAGGUGACUCUUGAUCUCAGCAUUGUGGGUUCAAGCCCCACGUCGGGUG
rnacentral:tRNA from 1 species